GAUGAACGCUGGCGGCGUGCCUAAUACAUGCAAGUCGAGCGAACGGACGAGAAGCUUGCUUCUCUGAUGUUAGCGGCGGACGGGUGAGUAACACGUGGAUAACCUACCUAUAAGACUGGGAUAACUUCGGGAAACCGGAGCUAAUACCGGAUGAUAUUUUGAACCGCAUGGUUCAAAAGUGAAAGACGGUCUUGCUGUCACUUAUAGAUGGAUCCGCGCUGCAUUAGCUAGUUGGUAAGGUAACGGCUUACCAAGGCAACGAUGCAUAGCCGACCUGAGAGGGUGAUCGGCUACACUGGAACUGAGACACGGUCCAGACUCCUACGGGAGGCAGCAGUAGGGAAUCUUCCGCAAUGGGCGAAAGCCUGACGGAGCAACGCCGCGUGAGUGAUGAAGGUCUUCGGAUCGUAAAACUCUGUUAUUAGGGAAGAACAUAUGUGUAAGUAACUGUGCACAUCUUGACGGUACCUAAUCAGAAAGCCACGGCUAACUACGUU
rnacentral:rRNA from 1 species